rnacentral:misc_RNA from 1 species
GAUGAAGAACGUAGCGAAAUGCGAUAAGUAGUGUGAAUUGCAGAAUUCAGUGAAUCAUCGAAUCUUCGAACGCACAUUGCGCCCCUUGGUAUUCCAUGGGGCAUGCCUGUUCGAGCGUCAUCUACACCCUCAAGCUCUGCUUGGUGUUGGGCGUCUGUCCCGCCCCCGCGCGUGGACUCGCCCCAAAUCCAUUGGCAGCGUUCCUUGCCCCCUCUCGCGCAGCACAUUGCGCUUCUCGAGGGCGGCUCCGGGACGCGAUCCAGCAAGAUGACCACCGUCUUUGACCUCGGAUCAGGUAGGGAUACCCGCUGAACUUAAGCAUAUCAAUAAGCGGAGGA